AAAAAGAACACCACAUUGAUAAAUUGACUUAACUAGUUAAAUUAUCUUUCCCAGUCAAACCAUAGGUUCUUAACAAAAUUAAGCCACAUAACCUAUCCAGCCUUCAAAUAAACAUCAAAAUGAUAUCGCAAAUUGCUAGCUCAACGGCGACUGCACGGUAGCAAAACCCAUGAAAGUUGAUACAUUCUCUAAGCAACCAGAGUGCUAGCAGUUGUUGAUUCGCUGCAAAAUUCACAAGUCAUUAAUAGCACGAAAGGGACAGUGCACAUGGAUAAAAAAAAAGUUACAAGGUUGGCAUUCAAAUUACAAAUGCACAAAGACUUCAGCAAGCAUCAUACACAUGUGCACUCGAAACAAAAAAUACAUAACUACCAGUGAAAAUCAAUAGAAUUUCAUUUAGAAGAUCAUCUUAUGUAACAUAUCCAAAUAAUACCACGUAUGCAUUACCUAUUGAAUAACAACACCUCUAGGAAAGUCUGUAUCAAAUAAUAUCAAGUAUGCAUCACCUAUCGACCAACACUUCUAGGAAAGUAUGUCUAUCUACAUGACAAUCUUAUAUAUUUUGACCAUUUUACAACACAUUCAGCAGGUAAAAAAUAGAUCUAAAACAAAUACUUACUAAUGUGGUCCAUCUCAAAUAAAUACUUAAAGCAUGCUUCCAGACAGAAUAUUAGUAUACAGAAUACAGAAUUUAAAUAACUUAAUAAUCCUAUGGAAAAAUUUAUUAAUAAUACUGUGUUGGGAUAGGCAGGGGAAAAAUGAACCAAACCACUUCCCUUCAUUUCCACUCCAUUUCACAAAGGCCACAGCUCAAGCAUAGAAAUACAACAUAAUAAUCAGCUAUUCAACUAAAAAUCCAUUGAUAAAAUAAUAGCAAGAAAGUCAUAGUAGGGUGAGGGGUGGGAAGGUACUUACUACUUCCAGACUGGUGGGAGCUUCUUAGUCUUCUUGUAAUAGCGAGCAAGUCGGUGGAUUCUGCUCUCAACAAGAAUCAACCUGAACUUGGAGUCCUUGUCCUUCCUGUUCCUCUCAAGAUGCUUCCUAAUUGAAACUGCCUUCUUAAUCAAAUGGUACAGGUCCUCUGGAAUUUCAGGCGCAAGUCCUGAAACCAACCACCAAAACAUUUCUUCAUUAUUAUUGUCACCUAUGUUUUUUUUGCUGAAAAGCAAGGUAUCCGUAGCCAAAAAUCAUUAUAAAUAUACACACACUGUCUCGUCCAUCUCAAUUUUUUACACGGCUCUCUACUUUUCCCAUUCGCAUAUUUUACAACUAUCCAAUAUCCAUUAACAUUAUACUUAUCAUUAUUACCUAAAAUAACAGAAAAUUGUAACCGAAAUUGCAGAGAGAAAGCACAAACCGUGAGCUUUGAGGAUGCGAAGGAUUUUGCUGCCAGUGACGCUAUUGACCUGAGCAAUACCGUGAGAAUCUCUGAGAAUGACACCAAUCUGAGACGGGGUCAAACCUUUCUUCGCAAACUUGCAGAUAUUUUCUUCGACCUAGAACAAAAAAUUAAGGAUAAAAACAUCACAUUAUAUCAUUAACAAUGCGAAAAAACCGUGAAACGAGAGAAAAUUACAUCUUGCGAAGAGAUCUUGAGCCAGCUAGGAGGUGUCCUUUUGUAGGGCAAAGCAGAAGAGGAUAUACCCUUACUGUAACCAAAGGAAAAAAAAUCAAAUGUUAGUUUUGAAAAAUAGGAAAGAAGAGAAUGAAUUCGAUGACAGAGAUUGAAAGAAUGAAUACAAACCCGCGGCUGUGCAUACGACCCAUGGCUGGUGGCUGUCACUCGCUUGAAGCUGCGCUUCUUCUGAUUAGGGUUGCGACUGCGACGCUCUUCUGCACACUCCACCACUCUAAAACCCUAGAUUAUGCAGUUUAUGUGUAUUAUAUAAGGAUAAAAAGUGUCAAGCCCAAUAGCUUUGGUAGUUUUUGAAACUGUAUUUUACAUAACCAACUUGGCCCGUUGGGCUGGCCGAAUUGGCCCUGGGCAACUGCUUGGGACUCUUAACAUUUUUGUUGGGAUGCUCAACAGUUUUUUAAAAUGUAAAAGAUAUUCCUAUGCAGGUUUAGUUUUUCAUUUUUACAAUGCCUUUUUUUUUUUACAAAAUCUCACACUCUUAUAAGCGUUUUUUGUCUUCGGUGGUAUACGUUGUUCAGGGGAUAUAGUGAAAUUGGAUGGUUAUUCGUUGUCGGAUAAUAAGAGUACGUAAAAAAAAUUUAGAAACAUACAGAUUAUCAAUUUGUAUGUUUCUAUUUUUUAAAAUAAAUAAAUAAAUAAAUCUGCAUGGUGGUUAAUAAUUAAAUUUUAAAUUUUAAAUUUUGGUUUCAAUAUUUUUUAUAACUAUCAAAUUUAAUAUUUUUUAAAAUUUUAUUUCAAUCGUUAUUUAAAGUAACAAUCUUAUCAUAUUUUAAGUUUUAAAUUUUGGUUUCAAUAUUUCUUAUAACUACCAAAUUAAAUAUAUAUUUAAAUUUGAUUUCAAUCAUUAUCUUAAACUAACAAUUUUAUCAUAUUUUAAAUUUUGAUUUCCAUAUUUUUUAUAACUAACAAAUUUAAUAUAUUUUUAAAUUUGAUUUCAAUCAUUAUCUUAAACUAACAAUCUUAUCAUAUUUUUAAUUUUAAAUUUUGGUUUCAUUAUUUUUUAUAACUACCAAGUUUAAUAUAUUUUUAAAUUUGAUUUCAAUCAUUAUCUUAAACUAACAAUCUUAUCAUAUUUUAAAUUUUGGUUUCAAUACUUUUUAUUACUACCAAAUUUAAUAUAUUUUUAAAUUUGGUUUCCAUCAUUAUCUUAAACUAACAAUCUUAUCAUAUUUUAAAUUUUAAAUUUUUGUUUCAAUAUUUUUUAUAACUACCAACUUAAAUAUAUUUUUAAAUUUGAUUUCAAUCAUUAUCUUAAACUAACAAUCUUAUUAUAUUUUAAAUUUUAAAUGUUUGUUUCAUAAUUUUUUAUAACUAACAGAUUUAUUGUACAACUAAAAAUUAUGUUUCAAUAUUUUUAUAAAAAAGUUUAAUUAUUUAAAAUUAUCGUUUAAAUAUCUUUUUUAACUAACAAAUUUAAAUUAUUUUUAAUUAUAAUUUCAAUAUUUUUCAUAAGUAACAAAUUCAAUAUAUUUUAAAUAUUUGUUUCUAUUUUUUUAAGUUAAAAAAAUAUAAUAUAAAAAUAUUGAAAAUUAAUUGUUUCACCAAUCUAAUCUUAAUUUUAGCAAUAUAAUCUUAGUUUUAGCAAUCUAAUCUAAUAUAAUCUUAGUAAUAACUAAUAUAUUUUUUUAUAAAUAAAAUCAAUACUUAACACAUAAAUCAGAAAAAAAAUUAUCAAAUUUCACUAACAUUACAAAAUAACAUUACACUACAAAAAAAUUAAAUAAUAAUUGACAAAUAUAUAUUUACAAUGUAAACAAAAAUUUCAAAAAAAAGACAAAUUUAGAAGAAAAAAAUUGAAAAAAAAAAUAUUCAACAAAAAAAAUCAUACGGAUCAACAAUCCGUAUAGGUGGUACGAAUUGGCAAUUCGUAUGAACCAUACGGAGAAAAAUACCAUUUUUGUUUGCAACAUUGCUUCAAACAACAUCAAACCAAUGUCAACAACAUCCUGCACCCACAAAGGAAGAAGAAGCACCAACAGAGUAAAACGACACAGGGGAAAGGAAGAAGAAGAACCACAACCGCGCAAGAAGUAGAGGAAGAAGAAGAACCGUAAUGAGGAAAAAACCACGAACUACCAGGAGAAUGAAGGAGAUCACGACGUGCGUGAAGGAGAAUGAAGGAGACCACCACAAGAAGGAAGAAGCACAACACGAAAGAAGAAUAAGCACUCCGGCGGAAUCGUACGGGCGCGCAUUGUAUUCGUAUUUAUAUUAAUAAGGUGAAGGGCAUUUUAGCCCUUUCACCUAAGGUGCUAGGUGUCCCACCAAAAUUAUUGGGUGUCCAAAGUAACACCCCUUGGCUCUAUUAUUUCUUGACCUCAGAUUAAAAAAGUCAACCUAACUCAUUGAUUAUCUCAAUUUAAUUCAAUAUAAAAUUUAUGCUAAGGAUAGGUAUCCAACGGGUUUAGAUGGUUCAAGCAAAAAAAAAAAUCCAACCCGUGGAAAUCAACGGGUUUAGAUGGAAAUCCUAGCAUAAAAUUUUUGCUUGAACCAUCUAAACCCGUGGAAAUCCAACCCGACCAUUUAAGACCAUCUAAAACCAAAAUUCAUAAUUCAUCAACCCAUUUUAUUGACUAGAAUUACAUGUUAGUUUAUUUAUCUUUCUCGGGUAUGAGUUCAAGUGGAUCCUGAUUUGUGUCCACCCCUAAUUUAUGCAUAACAAUAUGUAUAAAUUCAUAAGUAAAUUUAAUGAUGAAAUAAUUAAUCAUCAUCUUCAACUAAAAAUAAUAAUUAUUCUACAAGUAUUCAUAAUAUAAUUUUUUUUAUAAUUUUUUUAUUGUUUGAAAAAAAAUCAUAAUAAAGUUUAUACAUUUCUCAAAAUUUGUUACUACUAAAUAACCUCAAUCAUAUUUAAUUCUUAAGAUGGUAUUAGAACAAUUUGAUUAAUUACUUGCAUGAAAUGAAGGAAUCUUGAAUUACUGUGCUAGAAAACACAAAUGCAUUGAGGAUAAAUGUAAGCUUCAGUUAGUUAUAAAAACUAAAAUCUCAUUCAAACUAUUGGAUUGUCACAAGCACUACGAAUGAAAUCUCAUAAUGUAUUUCAACGAAAUCUUCUUUAACAAACUCGAAAUCUAAAAAACACCAGAAUUUUUAAAUACACAUAUAACUCCUCAAAUCUUGGAAAUUUUCUUGGUCCUAGCACCUUCAAUUUUGUGGUAAUGGAUGAACCAAGAAUGAGCUAGAAAGCUUUGCAAAAGUGGAGUCACAAAAGACAUAAACAAUGCUAAAGUUGUUGGUGGUGAAUAAAUAGGUAUGCCUAAAACCUAAAUUGUCAUGUACUAGCAAUCUACUUGCUUUUGAUAAAGUGUUGUUUAUUAUUUUAUUUUCAUAUUUAUUGUUUAAUUAAGUGUUUUUCAUAAGGUCCUUGAUUAGAUAGUUGUUAAUGAGAAAUAAGUUUUGGAAAUUUAAUUUAAUUUCUUCUUGAUCGUAAGAUAAUCAAAAUAGAAACAUCAUUACUCUAAAUAAAUACCAUCAAUAAAUUUGGAGCUUUUGGUCAUGCCUCAAUGUAACUUGGAAUGCAUGCUUUUGAAAACUCAUGCGAAAUUAAUUCCAUAACAACUUCUCUAGUUAAUUACUAAGCAUAUUACAAUUGUUCAUCCUUAUGCUUUAAUUGUCAAUCUUAUUCAUCCAUUCAUCAAUAAGCCAAGGACUUUUUCCUUUAACCAUGUGCUUUUAGUCUUUCAUAUGCGAAAUUAGUUCCAUGAUGUGUAUUUUUUUUGGUAAAUUGUGUUUUUAGUCUCUCAUCAAUUAGUUUGACAUCAUUAACUAUUUCGAAAAGAUAAGAAUUUAAAAAUACAAUUUAACAAAAAAAAAACAUGCAUUUAUCCUAUUAGACUCAUUGACGAUGUUGCAAGUCAUGGACUACCAACAUUAGAAAUUAGUGAAGAGUAUUGAAAAAAAGUUAAGGGAUGACAAUGUCAUGGAUAUAAAGCUUAGAAGACACAUUCAUGAAUAAUGACCAAUUGGUGUUUAAGUUCCAAGACUUGGUGGAAAAUAAAAGUCAUACAUUCACUAGAUUUUGUGAUGUGUUAUUGCAUUAGAAUCAUUUUUUUCACAAGAUGCUUAUGGACUAUAUAGUCUUUUGAAAAUUUUGAAAGUACCUGUAAGAGAACCAAACAAUGAUAAGUUAGUACUUUUCUAAUCAAAUUGGACAUAUCACUCUUGUAAGCAUAUACUGAUAAAUUGAGAGGAGGUCCAAUUAUUUUUAAAUAGUCUUAAUGGUGGCAUAAGGUGAGUUGAUGAUGAUAGUAGACACUUAUAAACAUUAAUGUUUAAGUGAAUUAUAACUCAAGUAGAGUUUUAAUACUUAGUGACAAAUGUGUUCUUGUGGGAGGUGCUUACUUCGGAUAUUUACAUAGAAAAGUUUAUAAGGUUCGGUGGAAGGGAUCAGAACAACCAUUAGAAUCAUUAGUUGUGCCUAUGUUAAUUUCUGGUAACAAAAAAAAAAGGUGUCAUGUUGCAUCAAAAAGGUGUCUAUGUAGGAAGACAUAUUAGUUGUCUAUCAUGCAAGUCAAUAUGUUAACUUUUGUCCUAGGAAAAAUCUUGAUUGUUUGUAAUGUAAGGAUGAUGUGGUGGACCAAGGUGUGAAUGGUACAUUGGACUAGAUUAAUUCAAAGUCAUUGGUCCCUUAUUUGGUUUGUGGGUAAUAAAAAAUGAGUACAAUCUUAGCACAAAAAGUCAUUGAAUUAAUGGAUCCCAUCAACCAACUUCAAUAAACAAUUAUGCAAGGACCAAUUAAUGUAAGAUUUGUAUUUAAUAUCAUGUUGUCUACAAAAGAUAUAGAGAAUGAUAGACCUGAAUAUGUCAACUCAACAAAUCCGACUAUCUUAUUUUUAAAAAUAGUCUAAUUUAACAUUUAAUUGAUUAUUUAAAAAAUAGUCUAAUUUAUUUAAUGAAAAAGAUUAAGGUAUAUUAUAUGUUAGAAAUUUAACAAUUAACUAUUUUUUUCAAAAACAUUCUAAUUUAUUUAAUGAAAAAGCUCAAAGCAUAUUGUAAUCAAUAUAGUGCACCUCAUUGACAACUAACUUUUGUAUUGCCUCGGUCUAUUUUUACUCUUAUGCUAUUUUUAAAUUAGAAGUGAAAUAAAGAAGAAAGAAUUAAGAAACAAAGAAAGCAAAAAAAAAAAGAUCUAAAAUAGAAAUAGAGCAAAAAAAAAUAUCGAUUGGAUAGAAAUAAAUAAAGAGGAAAAAAGUAAAAAAAAUGUAUUUCCACUUUAUUUAAAUGAGUGAAAGUAUGAGUAAAAUAAAUUAUAUAAAAAUAUUUUAUGUGUGAAUUUAAAUAUAUGAGUAUAUGUGUAAUUAAUCCUUUUACUAUAUUAUAUAUUUUAACAUAAAAAUAUUAUAUAGAAAAAAUAAAUAUGUUAGCAUGUAAAUUAAAACCAUCAAAAUCAAGAAUAUAUACUCAAAUUAUUGUAAAAAUAUCAUAACUUCUUUAAUAAAACAACAUUGAACAAAAAAGUAAAUUUGUUAACUUUAGUUGAAUGAACUAAUAUGUCAAAAAACGGUGAAAAAAUAAGUUUCAACAUGCAUUAUUGUUAAUGAUCAAAACAACAAAUACAAAAAAUGUCUAGUUAUUGUAAUAUGUAUUUCUUUAGGUUUAAGUAUACUUAUUAAAUUAUAAAAUUAAACUAAUUGAGAAAAAUGAUCAUAAUAAUUAAUAUUAAAUUUCUAUAUAUAUAUAUAUAUAUGAUUUGAUGAAACACUAUGAAAUAUUUAUGUUUUAUUAUUUAGAUCAAUAAAAUGAUGAUAGAAUAUAAUGAAAACAAAUAAAAUCUACUACAUCUUAUUCUUCUAUUUAACUUUAUUUUCUUUCCUUUCAAAUUUGGAGGAAUGAGAUAUAAUAAGAAUUAUGUUAUAUUUUUAUCAUAAUAUAUAUAAACAAUGAAUUUUUUAUUUCAUUGUAUUCUGUUCCACUUAAUUUCAUUUUAUUUCAUCCAAUUUCUUUCCAUCAAAGUCGAAUGUAGGCUUAAAGUCAUUGUUGCUAUCAAUCGUCAAUAAAUAUUAUGUUAAUGCCUAACAUGGCCAUUAAGUGAUGUUCAAACAUGUCAAAGUAUUGGACAUGAGACUUAUUUUAAUGUUUUUACAUUAGUGUUCAUUUGAAUAACAUUGUAUGUACAAACACAUCAUCUUCUAUUAAUACAUCGUUCACUAUUUAAUUACAACUAGUUUGACCUUAUUUUGUUCUCUACAUUUCCAUACUAUGGUUCAACCAUCUUCCACACACGAAUGGAGUCAUAUGCUUGGUGUUGAUAGGAACCAAACCUUUAUUUAUUCCUUUAUAGCGUUGGAAAUUGAAAACAUAAAGGGUCAUAUUAAAAUUUAUCCUAACAUAGACCAUCUUAUUAGUGUUUCAUAAGUAUUUUAUCAUUAUAAAACAUUAAGUAUCUAGCAACUUAUAACAUUUGUAAUAAAAUCAACCCGAGUAUCUUACACAUCGCCUGCACCUACAAACAAUAGUCUUAACAGUGCAUUCAUUCGAAAACCUUCCAUGAAAGAUGUUGAGGUCAAAUUUUAUCUAUUGGGUCUUAAGACAAUACCUCCCCCACUACCCUUCCUUACCCCUAUCCCCUUUAUUGGUUUAAGCCUCCCAAAAGUUUCCAAUUUAUAUUAAUUCCACUCUAGUUCAAGGAAACAUAUCAUAUAGAUAGAAGCGAUACCGCCUAAGUUGAGUUAUGAGCUUUGACAUAAUGGUUUUUGAAUCCAGACACGCACAUAUAAAGGAGAUGCAAGAUUACGUGUACGUAACAAUAUUGAGUAUCACAUUGGCACGAUGAGAAACCUCUUGUUUGAAACAGAGACUCUACUUUUAAUUAAGGGUUCUCCUAUACAUCAUUUACCAUUUUAUUUCCUAGAAACAUUUCAUAUUUAGAUCUUUCAUUCACAUUUCAACAAUCACAUACUUAUUACUAUUAAAACAAAUUCACUAUACUAAUCUUGUGAUAUCUCCUUCAACUCUUUUUUAACACCAUGGUUGCUGACUUGCUGCACUCGCAACUUUGUUUCAAAACAAGAACCUGAAAGAGUAUUGGAAGAGUCACAGCACAACAUUGGUUCUUGCAUUGUGUAUCAUCAUUUCCACGGCAUGGCUCUGCUUCCUCAAACUCACCAACAACACUCAAAAGAGGCUUCCAUCAGGCCCAUCGGGCCUCCCUAUCUUCGGGAACCUUCUAUCUCUUGACCAAGACCUUCUUCACACUUACUUUGUCGGCCUGGCCCAGAUUCAUAGCCCAAUUCUGAAGCUCCGACUCGGGAGCAAGCUAACGUCACCGGCUAUGGCUCUCGAGGUGCUCAAAGAGAUCGACACCAUUUUCGCUAGCCACAACGUCACAACCGCCGAAAGGGCCGCGAUCUACAACGGCUUCGACAUAGCGUGGACCCCGUACUGGCCGAGUGGCGGAUGCUGCGGAAGGUGUGCGUGCUCAAGAUGCUGAGCAACCCCACGCUAGAUUCCGUGUACGAUCUGCGCCGCAACGAGAUGCGCAAAAUGGUGGCAUUUUUGAAUGGUUGAGUAGGGAGUCCGGUGAACGUGGGGGAGCAGGUGUUUCUCAUUUUUUUAUUAGUUUUUGUUAACAUCUAACCGUCACUUCUUCUUUUUUUCUAAUCAAGUAAUCAAUCUUAUAUCUUAGGUGUUUUUUGACGGUGAUAAAUGUGAUAACGAAUAAGAUGUGGGGAGGGCCAGUGGAAGGGGCGGAGAGGGAGAGCAUGUGGGGCGGAGUUCAGGGAGCUAGUGACGGAGAUGACGCAGCUUUUGGGAAGCCGAACGUGUCAGAUUUUUAGUUUGUCAUGUUAUCUUAUGAACAAUUCUUUAUUCAAAUUUUAGCCUGUCAUGUUAUGAACAAUUUUUGUUUGUCCCUAUUAGUGAUAAUAAUAAAUGAUUUUGUAUUAAAAUAUAAUAAAUAUUUAAUUUUUUAGUUAAACUUAUUUUUUCUUAAUAUAUUCAUAUGAUAUUUAUAUUACUCUUUCACUUAUUCAAAUAAAUAAAAGGAAAUUUGUUAAUUUCUUUCUUUCCUAUCUUUAUCUACUAAUUAAAAUAAGUUGAUAGUGAAAAAUAAAUUAUAUUAAUAUUACAUGAAAAUUAAACUCUUUGAAUAUGUCAAUAUUUUUAUUUUUUAUUUGAAAAAUACAAGAAAAACAUUUUUUUCAUAUAUAUAAAAAAUUUCCUAUAUUGUCCUAAAUGGGAAUUAUCAAACAAUUGAUGUGGGAUGUUGCAUCUUAAUGAAUGAUCUUAAGUUAGAGUUUUGACUUUUGAAUAUGCAAUAAAAUAUUUAAAAUGAAGAUUUUGCAAGACGUAAUGAUCUCAAAUAAAAGAAAAUAAAAAAAAGUAAGAGGAAAUAUGUUUUACAUUUAUUAUUUUUUUAAUUGUUAGAUAUAAUUUGAUCAGUACUCUAAUAAUAAAUAUUGUUUGGUUGUACAUGUAUUAUUCUUAACAAAUAAUCUUAUUCUUUAAAAAAACAAAUAAUCUUAUUAGAAGAACAUUGAGACACUAAAUGUUAGCCCUUUUUUCAAUAGGAUCUGAAUUAUAGUUUAUUACUUUGUGAGAAACUAAUUUUUUUUAUAAUAGAUCCAAUAUUUAUUAGAAAAUAAUAAUAAAUAAUUUUAUGCUAAAAUAUAAUAAAUAUUUAAUUUUUAGUUACAUUUAAUUAUUGUUAUAAUUUAUUUAAAAGGAAAUUUCGCAAUUUAUUCCAUUCUUAUUUUUAUCUUUCAAUAUAAUAUACUCCUAUAUAAUUGUAUUUUAUACUUUUGAGUUUUGACUCUUUUUUAUUUAAUUUUAUUUCAAACACGAAUAUCUGACCUAGGUAAAAAAAAUCCCUGCCACGUGCGUAAUUUGGAAGCAUCCGAAUGGAAACAGUAUAAAUAAAACACACUAGACAUCUCUAGCACUGGCUCCGAUCAGAGUUGGUUGGUGGAAAGAAAGAAGGAAGGAAGCAAAAACCUCAAGCGCGCCCGCUAGCGCCUCCUCGACCGCGCCGGUGUCUUCGUCGUCAACGCCGACCUCAACGACGUCGCCCUCCUCCGCAAGCUCUUAGACGUCGUCCCUUUCACCCACGUCAUGCACCUCACCACACAGCCUACAGCUUAUAGAUGAGUUAGUACUGUAGGCAGUUGAGCUGCAGCUUUCAGUUUGAUUUGCCAAAUGCCCUCAUCGGAUAGUAAUACCAUCGGGGCUACAAUCUGUAGUAGCUCAAAAUUCUUGCCUUCAAAAGGAUUUUUAUUAACUCUUUCUUAAGUACUAUUUUUAAAACUGUUUUGUGAGGUCAAAGUAAGUAGAACUUCAUUUGUCAGCUAGAGAUUGAUUGGUGACAGGUUAUCUUGCUGCCACUCUUGAAUCGUUGCCAGACAGUGAUUGAAUCCAGAAGCUUCGUACCGGGUGAAAUUGGAUUGUUAAGACUUCAUUCCUGUCGUUUUUAGGCGGCACACUGUUGAUUCUCCAAAGGUUAAACGAAAGCUUCUUUUCCUACACACAUAUAACGAGGCUGGGGUUUCUGGUUGCUUGUUGAUCUCAUCAUGUGUUUAGUUGGGAGAGUCCAACUGCCCACAUGGCUUAUUCUGAGUUAGUUGAUGAUUUCUAACUAGCAAAUCUGAACCAUUUUUAUGUGAGGGGCAAAAGGGAAAGAGCUUAAGUAAGAAUUGCAGACCAUACCAAUGACUGACUGAUACUGUUCCUUAUAGCACACCAUGACUUAUGAAUCUUGAAAAUCAAUUCAUUUAAGAAAUGCGUCAAAAUUUGUAGAUCAGGCUUUAUUCAUUUGUUAGCUGGUUCACUCAUCGACACUACUCCAUGAUGGAAGGCCAUCUUCCUGUUGUUAAUUUCUGUUUUAACAAGUUCACUUGUUCUCAUAGUGACACCCAAGUAUGCAAACUCUCUUCAAUGUCCUCCUGUUUAUCCUGAUACAAUUUUUUUGGACUAAUUUUGAUUUUUUAUAACGCCAGCCUUUCUCUAUGAUGCUGUGUUUUUUAGUAACGGGUGGUUGGUUGAGUGAGAUGUUGGAUUCUCUUUUAAGUAAGGUUUAGCGUUAGAUAUUGUAUAUGGAACAGAAAAGAAAAAGAAAAAAAAGAACUGAUUAGGAGAAUUAGUCUUGUCAUAAAAUGUUGAUUUCUGGAAGAAAAAAAACAUUAAAUGAUAAUGACAAGAAAUCUCAAAAUUAAAUCUCAAAAACAAUAAAUGUAGAUUUUUGAAAGGAAAAAAAAAACAUUAAAUGUGGAUUUAAGGUCAACUUCAUAUUUUAUCUUUUAAAAAGUUUAAUUUGAUCAUUUAUAUUUAUUUUUGAUUCAGUUAAGUUUAUUUUGGUCAUUUAUUUAUUUAUUUGUUCAAUUUAGUCUUUCGAUAUAUUUAAGAUUAAUUAAUCAUUUAAGAAUGAACAUUUUUUGUUAGAAAUAAAGUGGAGAGAAAGGGAAAAAAUUAAACAAAAAUAGUUUAUUUUUAAAUUAUUAACGACAUUAAUCUUAAAUAUUUUAAAUAAACUGGAGGACAAAACUAAAAGUAAAAAAAAAAUGAUCAAACUGAACCACAAAAAUAAGAUAAAGGAAGUUUUUAAAAAAAAUAAAGGAUUGAAUUGAACAAACAAAAAAAGAUAAAGGAACAAAUUGAAUUUCUUAAAGGAUAAAGGACCAAAUAAGUCAUUUAGCCUUGAUUUAAAUAUAUUUUUUAAAUUUUAUUAAUAGAAAUAUAAGAAAAAAUUAUAGUAUACUAAAAUUAUUCUCUGAAAAAUAAUAUAUAGUCCAAGACCACUCUUCCUAUAUAAUUCAACAAUAUGACAAUCUCCACCAUUGUAUUUCUCAAAUAACUAUAUCGAAUGUUCUUGUGCUUAGAUACAAAAGGGAGCCAAGAUGAAGCAUCUAGUUCAAAGUCGCUCAACUCCUCUGCUGAAAUUCAUGAUAAGGGGAAAAUUGUUGAUGAAGGUAUUCAUCAUGCUGAUGAGUGUGAAAGGAAAAAUGGUAGGAUGGAUGAAGUUUUUAAAUGAAAAUAAAUAAAUGUCAUUAUAAUGUGUUGUGUUUGAUGGCUUUGUAAAUUAUAUAACUUUUAUCUCUAGUUGUUCAAGGGAAGACACAAUUUUGUGAGGGCUAAUCUGGUCUGAAGUCUUUCCUAGAUGAAAGUCUCAACCAUGGAAAUGAUUAUAUAGGUGCCACUGAAUAAAUUCUUGACAUUGACUAACAAAAUAUUUGCACCAUAUGCCUUGACACAAAGAAAUAGUGGACUAUAAUGGGACCCUGUGGUCAAAGAUUUUGCACAUAAUGUGUAGAAAACUUUGUUGUUCAACAAGUAGUAUGAGAAGGCAACAUAGAUGUUGGGUGUCUAAAACUAGAUUGUUAGUUGGAUAUAUAGCCAUAGAACUUCCAAAUAAUUCUCCCAUUGAGUUUUUUUAAAAAAGAAGACAAGCUGUAAAAUAUGCCAACUUGAUCGUAGGACUUCCCCUUUAGAAGAAAUAGAACCAAAAGUGCAAAAUUUGGUUAUGAAAAAAAAAUGGCAAUGGUGCCCAAGGUGCGAAGCCCCUUGUUCAAAGAGCUUCUAGUUGCAACCAUAUCAAAUGCAGGUACUUUUCAUGUCUUUUGAAUUCCUUUCAUCAAUCUCAUAUUUCUAUAGGUUGUUAGGUUAUUGUUGGAUUGAUAUACAAUUACUCUAUCACUAUUUGUGUAUUGUCAUUGCAUGUGUGGUUGUAGAUUUUGCUUUACCUGUGGGGGUAAUUGGAGAGUCAAACAUUGAUGUUUAGAGCAACAAGGAAGGAGAUCACGUUAGAUUACCAUGUUGUUUCGGGUUUUAUGUAUUGUGUUGAUUGAUAAAUGUGGCAUACCAACUGUUUGAAAAAUAUAUAUAGUCAAAGACCACUCUUCCCAUAUAGUUUAAUAAUAUUAGAAUCUCCACCAUUGUAUUCCUUCAAUAACUAUAUUGUGUGUUCUAGUGCUUAGAUACAAAAGGAAACGAAGAAAAAGCAUCUAGUUCAAACUCGCCUAACUCCUCUGUUGCAAUUCACGAUAAGGGGAAAACGAUUGAUGAAGGUAUUCAUCAUGAUGAAUAGUAUGAAAAGGAGAAUUCUAGGAUGGAUGAAUUUUUUUAAUGAAAAUAAAUAAAUGUUGCUAUAGUGUGGUGUGUCAUGUUUCUUAGUAAAUUAUAUAACUUUUAUCUCCAGUUGCUCAAGGGAAGACAUCAAUCUAUGAGGACCAAUCUGGUCUAAAGUCUUGGCUUGGUGAAAGUCACAACCAUGGAAAUGAUGAUAUGGGUGUUGUUGAAGAAGAUUUUGACAUUGAGGGACAAAAUAUUUGCACCAUAUGCCUUGACACAAGGAAUAGUGGACUAUGAUGGAAUCUUGUAGCCAUAGGUUGCACACAAUGUGUAGAAAAUUAUGUUGUUUUGCAAGUAGUAUGAGAAGGCAAAAUAAAUGUUGGGUGCCUAGAACCAAUAUCAAUCCAAUCCAACCUAAUCUAACUUUAAUUGAAUUUGAUUAGGUUGAUUAUCUAGUUAAACCAUUAAAAAGUUGUCAAAUCUUUAAGUCUUGAAAAAAAUUAAAGAAAUGUUCAAAUUCAAAAAUAGUAAGGAUAUUUUUUUAUAGAAUAGUAAUAAUAUUUUUAAAAAAUAAUAUUCAUAAAACAUUAUACUAUUCAUAUGAUAUAAUAGAAAAAAAAACAUAAAUAUAAACUCACGGUAUUAUUCAUAAAAAUAUAUUACCUUAAAAUAAACAAAAAAUAAGAUAACUACAAAACAAUGUAUCAUCUUAAGAUAAACAUAUAUUACCUUGAAAAUGAGAUGUGCUUAGUUAGGGGCUUCUAUUCAUAAUUUAAUUUUAUGCAAGUUGGAUUAGGUUUUAGUCGAAUCCAAAACUCUAAAUUUGUCAUCAAUCCAAUUUUAAUUGGAUUUAUUAAACUAAAAUUAAACUAAUUCAAUCGAAUGACACAAUCCAACUCACAAAAAUCUAAUUGAAUUGGGCUUGUUCGUGAAUUGGGUCUGAUAUGCUUACACCUAUAUUCUAAACAAUUCUCCCAUGGAACUUCUUAAGAAGAUGACAAGCUAUAAAAUAUGUCAACUUGAUUCGUAGGACUUCCCCUUUAGAAAAAGAACCAGAGAUGCAAAAUUUGGUUACGAAAAAAAAAAAACUGGCAAAGAUGCCCAAGGAGCAAAGCCCUUAUUUUAAGAGCUUCUGGUUGCAACCAUAUCAAAUGUAAGUAUUUUUUUUUACAUCUUUUGAACUCCUUCCAUCAAUCUCAUAUUUCUAUAGGUUGUUGCUAUUGAACCGAUAUGUACUUUCUCUAUCAUUGUUCGUGUGUUGUCAUUAUAGGUGUGAUUGUAGAUUCUAAUUUACCUGUUGGGAUAAUUGGAGAGUCGAACACUGAUGUUUAGAGCAACAAGGAAGGAGAUCACAUUGGAUGAUCAUGAUGCUUCAAGUUCUCUGUAUUGUGUUGAUUGAUAAAUGUGUCAUACCAAUUGUUUGAAAAAUAUAUAUAUAAUCCAAGAUCAUUCUUCCUCUAUAGUUCAAUAAUAUGACAAUCUUCACCAUUGUAUUCCUCAAAUAACUAUAUUGUGUGUUCUAGUGCUUAGAUACAAAAAGGAGCAAAGAUGAAGCAUCUAAUUCAAAGUUGCCCAACUCCAUUGUUGAAAAUCAUGAUAAGGGAAAAAUGGUUGAUGAAGGUAUUCAUCAUGUUGGUUAGUAUGAAAAGGAGAGUGGUAGGAUGGAUGAAUUUUUUAGUGAAAAUAAAUAAAUGUUACUAUAAUGUGUUAUGUCUUAUUGUUUAGUAAAUUAUAUAACUUUUAUCUCCAAGGAAGAUACCAAUCUAGGAGGGUCAAUCUGGUCUGAAGUCUAUGCUUGAUAAAGGUCCCAGUUGUGGAAAUGAUGAUCUGGUGGUGUUGGUAAAGAAAUUUUUGACAUUAAGGCACAAAUUUUUUGUAUCAUAUACCUUGACAAAGAAUAACGAGUGUAAUGACCUAAGUUGAAUUAAAUUUUAUUUAUUUUUCAAUCUAAUUCAAUUAAACUUAAUUAAAUUUAAAUUAGAUUUAUUUUUUUUAUUUUGUCAAUCCAAUCCAACUUUAAUUAGAACAGUUAAUGGGUUGGACCAUUAAAAAGUUAUCACCUUUUAAGACUCAGAAAAAAAAUUAAAGAAAUCCUUGAAUCAAAAUUUAGUAAGAAUAUUUUAAAAAUCAAUAUUCAAAAAUGAUUAUAAUAUUCAUACAAUAAAAAUAAAAAAUACUAUAUAUACCAUUUAUAAAAAAUGUAUUAACUUAAAAUAAUGAAAAAAAUAUAAAGUAAAAAUAAUGUAUUAUCUUAAAAAUGAGAUGUUCUUAGUUAAAGAUUUUAGAUAGGAUUAUGUGAUGAAUAUAUAGCAAAAAUUGUUUAAAAUUAGGGUUUAAAGAAUAAUAAAGAUAGGAUAAAAAUAAUAUUUUCAAUAAAAUUUAAAGAACACUAAUGAUAGGAUGAAAAUAAGACUAACAAACAUAGGUAUAAGAUAAGCAUUUAUCAUUUUUUUAUUUCUCAUCAACCACCUUAAUUCUUAAGUAAUAUUUUGUUAAAAAAUAAAUACCUAUUCCUUUGGAAACCAGUUGAACCCAUAAGCAGCAAAGAAUACGAUCCUUCAAAUCUUCUCAGCAUAUAUAUUACUUGAAAAUAAAACCAAAAACCAUAGUCAUCUCUUUAAAGAACAACCUCCAACGGCUAAAAGAAAAAGAACACCACAAUGAUAAAUUGACUUAACUAGCUAAAUUAUAGGUUCUUAAAAAAAUUAAGACCACAUAACUUAUCCAGCCUUCAAAUACACAUCAAAAUGAUAUGGCAAAUUGCUAGCUCAACGGCGACUGCAAGGUAGCAAAACCCAUGAAAGUUGAUACAUUCUCUAAGCAACCAGAGUGCUAGCAGUUGUUGAUUCGCUGCAAAAUUCACAAGUCAUUAAUAGCACGAAAGGGACAGUGCACAUGGAUAAAAAAAAAAAGUGACAAGGUUGGCAUUCAAAUUACAAAUGCACAAAGACUUCAGCAAAACAUCAUACACAUGUGCACUUAGAACAAAAAAUACAUAACUACCAGUGAAAAUCAAUAUAAUUUAAUUUAGAAGAUCAUCAUAUGUAACAUAUCCAAAUAAUACCACGUAUGCAUUACCUAUUGAAUAACAACACCUCUAGGAAAGUCUAUAUCAAAUAAUAUCAAGUAUGCAUCACCUAUCGACCAACACUUCUAGGAAAGUAUGUCUAUCUACAAGACAAUCUUAUAUAUUUUGACCAUUUUACAACACAUCCAGCAGGUAAAAAAUAGAUCUAAAACAAAUACUUACUAAUGUGGUCCAUCUAAAACAAAUACUUACUAAUGUGGUCCAUCUCAAAUAAAUACUUAAAACAUGCUUCCGAAACAGAAUCAAAGUAUACAGAAUACAGAAUUUAAAUAACUUAAUAAUCCUAGGGAAAAAUUUAUUAAUAAUACUGUGUUUGGAUAGGCAGGGGAAAAAUGAACCAAACCACUUCCCUUCAUUUCCACUCCAUUUGCCAUAGGCCACAGCUCAAGCAUAGAAAUACAACAUAAUAAUCAGCUAUUCAACUAAAAAUCCAUUGAUAAAAUAAUAACAAGAAAGUCAUAGUAGGGUGAGGGGUGGGAAGGUACUUACUACUUCCAGACUGGUGGGAGCUUCUUAGUCUUCUUGUAAUAGCGAGCAAGUCGGUGGAUUCUGCUCUCAACAAGAAUCAACCUGAACUUGGAGUCCUUGUCCUUCCUGUUCCUCUCAAGAUGCUUCCUAAUUGAAACUGCCUUCUUAAUCAAAUGGUACAGAUCCUCUGGAAUUUCAGGCGCAAGUCCUGAAACCAACCACCAAAACAUUUCUUUAUUAUUAUUAUCACCUUUUUUUUUUUGCUGAAAAGCAAGGUAUCCGUAGCCAAAAACCAUUAUAAAUAUACACACACUGUCUCAUCCAUCUCAGUUUUUUACACCGCUCUCUACUUUUCCCAUUCGCAUAUUUUACAACUAUCCAAUAUCCAUUAACAUUAUACUUAUCAUUAUUACCUAAAAUAACAGAAAAUUGUAACCGAAAUUGCAGAGAGAAAGCACAAACCGUGAGCUUUGAGGAUGCGAAGGAUUUUGCUGCCAGUGACGCUAUUGACCUGAGCAAUACCGUGAGAAUCUCUGAGAAUGACACCAAUCUGAGACGGGGUCAAACCUUUCUUCGCAAACUUGCAGAUAUUUUCUUCGACCUAGAACAAAAAAUUAAGGAUAAAAACAUCACAUUACAUCAUUAACAAUGCGAAAAAACCGUGAAACGAGAGAAAAUUACAUCUUGCGAAGAGAUCUUGAGCCAGCUAGGAGGUGUCCUUUUGUAGGGCAAAGCAGAAGAGGAUAUACCCUUACUGUAACCAAAGGAAAAAAAAAAUCAAAUGUUAGUUUUGAAUAAUAGGAAAGAAGAGAAAGAAUUCGAUGACAGAGAUUGAAAGAAUGAAUACAAACCCGCGGCUGUGCAUACGACCCAUGGCUGGUGGCUGUCACUCGCUUGAAGCUGCGCUUCUUCUGAUUAGGGUUACAACUGCGACGCUCUUCUGCACACCCCACCACUCUGAAACCCUAGAUUUGGUAGUUUAUGUGUAUUUUAUAAGGAACAAAAGUGUCAAGCCCAAUAGGUUUGGUAGUUUUUGAAACUGUAUUUUACAUACCCAACUUGGCCCGUUGAGCUAACCGAAUUGGUUUUAUUAUUUCUUGAACUCGAAUUUAAAAAGUCAACCUAAUUCAUUGAUUAUCUCAAUUUAAUUUAAUAUAAAAUUUAUGCUAAGAUAGGUAUCAAAUGGGUUUAGAUGGUUCAAGCAAAAAAAAAAAUACAUACAACAUAAAUCGAUUAUAUUUUUUAUGGGUCUAUUUUUGGUUGUUUAAUACUUUGAUAUAGUCUAAUUAAGUUUUAAUGAGUUGACCAAAGGAAGAAAUGGAGAAAAAGUAAAAAUUUAACCCGACCAUUUAAGAUCAUCUAAAACCAAAAUUCAUCAACUCAUUUUAUUGACCGGAAUUACAUGUUAGUUUAUUUAUCUUUUUUGAGUAUGAGUUUGAGUGGAUCUUGAUUUGUGUCCACCCCUAAUUUAUGCAUAACAAUAUGUAUAAUUUCAUGAGUAAAUUUGUAAAUAAAUCACAGUUGUGGAAAUGAUGACAUGGUGCCGGUAAAGAAAUUUUUGACAUUGACGCACAAAUUUUUUUGCAUCAUAUGCCCUGACACGAAAGAAUAGCGGACUAUGAUAAGACCCUAUAGCCACAGAUUUUGCGCAGAAUGUGCAUAAAAGUUUUUUGUUUAGCUAGUAUGAAAAUGCAACAUAAAUGUUGGAUGCCCAAAACUAGAUUAUUUGUUGGAUAUAAAGCCGAAGAACCUCUAUAUUGGGAGUGUAAUGGCCUUGGUUGAAUUGAGUUUUGUCUCUUUUUCAAUCCAAUACAAUUAAACUUAAGUGGGUUGGAUUGUUUUGGAUUUACCUUUUUUAUUUUGUCAAUCCAAUCCAACUUUAAUUGGAUUGGUUAAUGGGUUGGACCAUUAAAAAGUUGUCACCUUUUAAGUCUUGGAAAAAAAAAUUAAAGAAAUCCUCAAAUUCAAAUUUAGUAAGAAUAUUUUUAAAAAUCAAUAUUCAUAAAACAUUAUAUUAUUCAUAUAUCAAACAAAAAAAUACAAUAUAUACCAUUUAUAAAAAAUGUAUUAACUUAAAUAAAGAAAAAAUAUAAAGUAAAAAAAAUGUAUUAUCUUAAGAAUGAGAUGUUCUUAGUUAAAGAUUUUAGAUAGGAUUUAUUGAACACUAAUGAUAGGAUGGAAAUAAGACUAACAAACAUGAAUAUAAGAUAACUGUUUAUCAUUUUUUUAUUUCUCAUCAACGACCUUAAUUCUUAAGUAAUAUUUUGUUGAAAAAUAAAUACCUAUUAUGGAAGUAUAUCUCCAGAACUAUGAAUCGUAGUUCUAGAGAUAUAUUUCCAAAAUAGGUAUAUGUAACUCCAGAAAUACAUUUCCAAAAAAUAAAAUGAGUGUACUUCUUUAAGAAAAAAUAAAGAUAUAAUGGAUAAUUAAGAGAUAGAGUGAGGGAUGAGGUGUACUUAGGAAAACUGAAGGUGUAAAUAGCAAUAGCCUAAUCUAUUGGAUUGGGUUUGUUCACAGAAGAUGUCCAAUCUGCUUAUGUCCCUACUCCAACCAAUUCUCCCAUAGAGCUUUUUAAAAAGAUGAUAAGUUAUAAAAUAUGCCAACUUGAUUCAUAGGACUUCCUCUUUAGAAGAAAUAGAACCAAAGGUCCAAAAUUUGGUUAUGAAAAAAAAAAGAGGUAAAGAUGCCCAAGGUGUGAAUCGCUUGUUUAACGAGCUUUUUGGUUGCAAACAUAUCAAAUGCAAGUAUUUUUCACGUCUUUUGAAUUCUUUUCCUCAAUCCCAUAUUUCCAUAGGUUGUUAGGUUGUUGUUGAACUAAUAUGCAUAUACUUUAACACUACUCUAUCACUAUUCAUGUGCUGCCAUUGGCGAUAUGGUUGUAGAUUCUGCUUUACCUAUGAGGAUAAUUGGAGAGUCGAACACUAAUGUUGAGAGCAACAAGGAAGGAGAACACGUUGGAUUAUCAUGAUGUUUCGGGUUCUCUAUGUUGGGUUGAUUGAUAAAUUUGGCAUACCAGGAGUUUGAAAAAAAAAAUAUAGUCCAAGACCAAUAUUCCCAUAGUUCAAUAAUAUGAAAAUGUACUCCAAUAUAUUCCUCAAAUAACUAUAUUGUGUGUUUUGGUGCUUAGAUACAAAAAGGAACAAAGAUGCAACAUCUAGUUCAAAGUCGCCCAACCCCUAUGUUAAAAUUCAUGAUAAGGGGAAAAUGUUGAUGAUGAAGGUAUUCAUCAUGCUACUGAGUAUGGAAAGGUGAAUGGUAAGAUGGAUGAAUUUUCUUAGUGAAAAUAAUUAAAUGUCACUAUAAUGUGUUAUGCCUUGAUGCUUAGUAAAUCAUAUAACUUUUAUCUCCAACUUCUCAAGGAAAGAUACCAAUCUUUAAGGGUCAAUCUGGUCUGAAGUCUCUGCCUGAUGAAAGUCACAACCAUGAAAAUGGUGGUUUGGGUGCCAUUGAAGAAAAUUUUUUACAUUGAUGGACAAAAUAUUUGAACCAUAUGCCUAGACACAAAGGAAAAAUGGAUAUGAUGGGACCCUGUAGCCAUGGAUUUUGCACACAGUGUGCAAAAAUGUUUGUUGUUCAACAAGUAGUACAAGAAAACGACAUAAAUGUUGGGUGCCUAGAACUAAACUAUCCUUUGGAUAAAGAGCCAAAGAACCUCCAAACAAUUAUUCCAUGGAGCUUUUUAAGAAGAUGACAAACUAUAAAAUAUGUCAUCUUGAUUCGUAGGACUUCCCUUAACCAGAGGUUCAAAUUUUGGUUAUGAAAAUAAAAGAAAAAUGGCAAAGAUGCCCAAGGUGCGAAGCCCUUGUUCAAAGAGUUUCUAGCUGCAACCAUAUCAAAUGCAAGUAUUUUCCACAUUUUUUGAAUUCCUUUCAUUAAUCUCAUAUUUCUAUAGAUUGUUGCUGAAUUGAUAUGCAAUUAUUAUGUCUGGUAUUUGCAUGUUGUCAUUGCAAGUAUAGUUGUAGAUUCUGAUUUACCUGUGGGGAUAAUUGGAGAGUCGAACACUGAUGUUUACAACGAUAAGGAAGAAGAUUACAUUGGAUUAUCAUGAUUGUUUGGAUUCUCUGUAUUUAAUGGAAAUAAAUAAAUGUUGAUAUAUUGUGUUGUGUCCUAAUGCUUAGUAAAUCAUAUAACUUUUAUCUCAAGUAAGACUCCAACCUACGAGGGUCAAUUUGGUCUAAAGUCUCUACUAUCUCCAAUUGAUGAUAUAGGUGCUAGUAAGAAAAUUUUGACAUUGACGAACAAAAUAUUUGUACCAUAUAUCUUUACACAAAAGAAAAGUGAUAUAAACAAUAAAGUAAUUAAAAAUAAAAUAUUAUUCUAGUUUAAAUCAUUUAUUUAGAGCAAUCAAAUUUAAAGCUUUAACUUAAAUAUUAUUUGUUUAAAAAAACAAAUUUUGAAUAUAAGUUAUUUAAUUUGUUCAUGAUUUCAUUGUUUUUGUUUUUUGUUUCACUAAAUUUAUUUUUUAUUUAUUUGUUAAUUUUAUUAUUUAUUAUUUAGUUGACAUUUUUAAACUAAAAGAUAAAGUAAGAAUAAAAAUCGAUUUUUGUACUCAUAAAUAUGAUUCAAGAGUCAAGAGUAUAAAAUAAAUUUUUUAAUAAAGAAGAAGAUUUUUUAAGAAAAUCAUUGAUUCGUUCACUUAAAUUUUGACUCUUUAUUAAAAUUAAAAUUAAGUGAUUAUAUAUAUAUAUAUAUAUAUAUAUAUAUAUAUAUAUAUAUAUAUAUAUAUAUAUAUAUACACACACACUUUAUUAGGUAAUUAUUACAAUUUAUCAAUUUAAUGUUUAUAAAAUUUGGACUAACUAUUUUAAAAUAAUUUAAACCUAAUUUAUUUUAUUUACUUAAAUUAAUGAGCUUAAUCAACUAUUUAACUAAUUAGUUUCAAUACUUUACAGAUAGCUUAAUUUAUUAUGGUCUGUUAGUUUUCAAUUAAAGAAAUUAUUAAGAAUUUGUUUCUACUAAGAUUGUCCAGUUGCCACUCGUGCUUAGCUUAACGAUCACGAUCCCUUUGCUGCGAUACCAUUUUUCCAUUCCAUGGACUUGUGGACUGUUGGAUGGCAAAUAACAAAAUUUAAAACAGUUCAGAAAUAUAAAUUGGAUGUUCAUCGAAGUUAUUUAUUUAAUAAGGGUGUUCAUCUAAGUUGUCUUGACUCUUGAGUAAAGUAGGAAUAAGUAAUGCUGUGUAAUGACAACGUAGCAAAUAUUUGAAGAGAUGGACUAUUCGAUGGUAACUUAUAGGUCCUCUAAAGUUAUUAAAAUUCAAGCAUAUCCUAAAGAAUAAAUUAGUUCAAAUGAUGAUUCUUUUUUUUUUUAAUUUGAUUUUUUAUUUUUUAAAAAAUUUAAUUUGGUCUUUAAUUUUAUUUUUUUAUAUUCAAUUUAAUCUUUUAUCUUUUAAAAAAAUAAUUAGUUAUCUAUUUUUUUUGUCUAAGUUAGUCCUUUGAUUCAUUUAAGAUUGAUUUCAUGAAUCAUUUAAGAAUAAACUUUUUUAUUAAAAAUGAAGUGGAGGGAAAGAAGAGAAAAUUGAACUAAAAAAAGUUUAUUUUUAGAUUAUUAAUGACAUCAAUCUUAAAUACAUUAAAUGAUCAAUUUGAGCAAAAAAAUAACAAAAAACAUUAAAUUGAAAAAAUAAAAAUAAAUGAUUCAAUAAAUUUUAAAAAAAUAAAUGACUAAACUAAAAAAAAACUAAAAUAAAAGAUCAAAUUAGACAAAAAAUAAAAUAAAUAAUCAAAUAGGGUUUUUAGCCAAUAAAUUAUUACUAUGAUUAAGAAGCAUAACAUCCUCAAGUCACUAACAUCCCCCUUUCAAUGAACUACUCAUCCGUGACCAAUUGAAGUUUUAUGUAUAUUUUUUUAACCCUUUAAUUUAUUAGGAGAAACUAUUAAUUUAAAUUUAAUUAAUAAUUAUUUUGAUCAAAAAUCAAAUUUAAAUAUUAUCUAAAUAAUUUAAUCUUAAUUUCAACUGUCACACCUAUAUUUUUUUAAAACUUUGUUUACAUUGAAACAAGACAGCCUACUUUAAAGAAAUAGCAAUUGUCGGUUAUCAAGUCACAACACGACACAUAAUAUUUGGUUUGGGUGGGGUAAUAAAGGCAAGUUGAAUGUCCGGAAAAAAAAUUCUAAAAUGAAAGAAGAAAAAGAAAGGAAAAGAAAAGAAAAAAGUGAAUGUAAAUUACCAACUAGAUAAAGUCUGGUAGCGGGACUAAUCUCCCAUGACAGAGUGAAUCAAUGUUGGAAUUCCUGCGUGACCAUGCCUAAAGUGAAUUUAAAUUAUGCAAUAGUAGUAUUUAAUAAUGGGAGCGUAAAUUGUAGAUAGAAUUUAAUUUUGAAGUCGCGGGGUCCAUAGGAGGGUUAGAUUAGAAGGCAUGUGCGUGCCUGCAAUCCCAAUAAUGCAUAGGAAUUGAAGCAUAGGCACCCUUCCCUUCCGUUUCGAAUUAACCAUGAAAGGCGUCUUUUCGGCGCCCGGUGAUUACGUUCACUUCAAGUCUCAAGUCCCUCUUCACAAAAUCCCAGUAUGUUCCUUUCUUUCUUUCUCCCAAUUCCUCUCUUCUAGGUUUUCUAUUACACCCUCCUCCUUUCUCCAUCGUAGCAUCCACAGAUACGAUGUGUUUAUGAACGAAUGAAUUGUGAAUUUCUACUAUUCUGUUUGAUCCUUUUUUUUUCUUCUUUUUGACAGAUUGGCACUAAGCAGUGGCGGUAUUACGAUUUCGGUCCGAAAGCUGUGCCUCCCCUUAUAUGCCUUCCUGGAACCGCAGGAACUGCUGAUGUAUAUUAUAAACAGAUCAUGUCAUUGUCUAUGAAGGUACUGCAUCAUAUUUCAAUGGCCUAAAUGUUAUCACAUCCAAUGUGUUUCCACUCAUCACCAUCACUACCUUGUUGUGGGGUUUGGAAUGGCCUAAUCUUGACUCAUUCAUCUUACGUGAAUAGUCGAGAUUGCAAGUUAUUUAAAGAGUUACUUGACUUUAUGUUUUAAACUUAGCUGUACAUGGAUGAUUCAAUUGUUAAGAUUUGACGUGUGGACAUCGUGCUUGUUGAAAUGACACCAUCCACCCUCCACCCUCCACACACACAAGAGCUUCACGUAACCCUUUGAAUGUUAGGCAAUGGAUGGCUAACUUCAAAAAUGCUCUUCUGCAGAAGUUCUUCUGCUGCUGCUAAACGAGAGAGAGCCAUAACCUAGAAACUCAGCUAACUGCAGGGUGAAGUAUAGUUAAUGAUUAAACUUGUUUUGGCUAUUUAAAUAAUCUACUGGAUAUCUCUUUACAUCAUAACUUGUAAGAAAGCUUAAUGCUAAAUAUAUGGAUUGCUCUUUAGAAAAUCAUGUGCAAAAGAUGCUUGUUGUGAUGUGUGAGUGUGUGUGUGUGAAUUUUUAAAAUGUGCGCUUGAUAGAGGCAAAGAAUACAUGCCUGAAGGAGAUAUGGGCCAAAUGUUAGAUCAAUAAAGUCCUGGCCUAAAGAUAUGGAGAGUUUACUCUGGAAGAGCAAAAAGGGACACGUGGAAAUUAGAGAGAGGAAGAGGUUAUUACCCUGGGUGGAAGAAUGGUGGGGUCAGAAACGGUUUUAUAGAGUGUGCUGCCUGGAAGGGAAGGUAGUGCGUUUUUCAGCCAUAGGUUUGGGCUCACAGCUCUGAGCUGAGAGAUAUCUUUUACUUUGUUCCUUUUAUCUUUUCCAGCACUGACAGCCUUUGUUUAGGGAAUUGAAUUCCUCACAUUCCAAUUAUUAAUCAGAAUACCAUUUUGAGUUCACUUUUUCCCUAUUCCUAUUAGUGCUCCAUCUUUGUAACUGAUACAAUAAGAUCUCAUUGUAUGUUGCUUACUAACAGGAUUUGACUAGAGUUUUGUUUACUUGUUGUGUGUAUGCUUGUAUUUACUUUUAUCAAUCCUCAUAUUGCAAUUCUGGACAGAGUAACCAAAGUUUCCAUUUUGUACAGGGUUACCGUGUCAUAUCUGUUGACAUACCUCGUGUAUGGAAUAAUACUGAGUGGAUUCAAGCAUUUGAAAAGUUCUUGGAUGCUAUUGAUGUACACCAUGUAUGAUCUCAAACUCAUCAUGCUUUCUACUGCCAACUUUUUACUCAUAUAGAUGCUACAUCUAUAAAUUGUUUGCUUUUAAAGCCACUUAUGCUUAAUUUGGUAUCGAAGAAUUUGAUACCUUUAUUCUAUGUUGGAGACAUUGAUCAUUUCAAUUAAUGGAAAGCCCUACUUAGCUAGUCUUCAAUUCAUUUAAACAAAGUUUUUCUAAAAUCUCGAGGUUCUUAUAGUCCAGUUUUCCGCAUCUUCUAGUGUUCAUAUAUAAUAGAAAAACUUUUUUGCUUCUGUUGUCAGUGCCAUAAGGCGCAAUGGUGUGUUUAUAUGGCAGAAUUUUUGCCUUCCACCAUGUUCUGCCAUCUGUCAUUGAUAACACUGUCCAUUGUGCACCAUAUAAUUUUGUUGGGAGCUGUAACAUGUUACAACUUUGGAAUUUGGAUAUUAUGUGAGAUGUCCAUACACAUGUAUCCUAAGGAGGGAAUGGUUCCUAGACAUUUCCAAGGAUUUGUGAGAUGUUAUAGGAUUUAAUUAGGCCAAACAACACAAGCCCAAGCUAAAUCUUAACCCCAACCUACUAACAAUCGUGGAGCAUCAGCCCAAAUAUGGAACUGUACACUAUAAAAUUUGGUUUAUGAGCCUCUUUGAACUAGCUCACCUAAAAUUGUUAAUUUCAAUGAACUGAUUGAUCAUAAUGAAUUAGAUUGAUAUAUCUUCUUCCUUCCCAGAUUUUUGAAGCCAAGUUCUUUUGCAAUAUAUUUGAAGACCCAGCAUGUGAGCCUAAAUAUAUUUCAAUCCCACCUAUACAGGCUAGCCUGCUUACCAAGUUGAAGGUUGUUCAAGCCACCUGUCUCUUAUGAUAUCAUGCAUGGUUUUUAUAUAGUUAAGUUUUAGGUGUAUUUGGAUAAAAUUCCAAAUGCUCUUUACCACAACCAUUUCAGUGAGGAUGUAGUUUGCCACUGGAAAUAUGUUUUGUUUGGUGAAAGACUUCAGUUCUUGUUCUUCAAUUAUAUUUUCAUUCAUUAUAUCUUGUAGGAUUAAUCUGUUCUGGAAGUUAAUUCUGUCAAGUAUCAGCAAAAGGGAAAUUUCUAACCAUAAAUCCAAAUGUGUAAUUCAUAUGAUUGCUUAGUAUAAAAUAUGAUCUACACAAUACAUGAUUUUAGUAGUUUUUACCGCAAAUCUCUCUACUAACUGCUCAAUAUGUCUAUAUGACUGUCUAUGUAAUGUCAUCUUUUGAAUCUAUAAUUGGUGACAUAGCUUCAAACAACCAGAGAAAAUGUUCAGUAAAUUAGUUUAAUAUCUCUUACAGAUACAUCUUUAUGGUACGUCACUUGGUGGUUUCCUAGCACAACUCUUUGCUCAGCAACGUCCUAGAAGAGUUCGAUCGUUAGUUCUAUCAAACACAUUUUUGGAGACACGGAGUUUCUCUGCUGCAAUGCCAUGGGCACCCAUGUACUUUUCUCAGAUUCUAUUGUAAAGAAUAAUAGUAGAUAUAGGCUAGAAAUGAGCAAACUUCUUGUGGUUGUUUCCUUUUAAUUUACGAAAGAUAAACUGCCUUAUAUGCUGAUCUAGUAGAAUUUGUAACAAACAAAAGCAUCAAUGAUUACUUUACCUAUACACGUAGGACUAUAGCACUGUCCAGAAAUUACAAUAGGUAUGAAACACAAGGAAACUAGAUAAUAUCUUCAAAAUUGCAGAUUUAUUCCUGUACCAUUAGACAAAUUAUUCCUUAAUAUUCCAUUAAACUAAGCAUCAUCCAUAAUUACCUUUGUGAGCACUUGCGGAUAUGUAUGGUAUGCCUGACCUUAGAAUGAUGCAAUAUCCCCUCCCCUUAAACUUUUUGUACAACAAAAAUGCAUCAUCUUUCUUACUGGGAAUUUCUUGUUAUACUUCCUGAUAGUUUUUCAUUAGAUCUAUUCAGUUUUCCAUUUAUUAACCGAUGUAGCUGUACUAUUGCAUUUGCAGUGUUAGUUGGACUCCUUCUUUUUUGCUGAAGCGAUAUGUCUUAACAGGAAUUCGUGAUGGUCCCCAUGAACCAUUUAUUGCAGAUUCAGUGGACUUUGUUGUUUCUCAGGUAACCUUUGUCUUGCAUAAUCUAAUGCUUAGUAGCAAACUGCUAUUUGUGCCUUUCAGUUUGCAAGAAUUUGUCUUGUUUUUGGACAAAAAAGAGUGUCCACCAUACUUUAGACUGGGGACUAGUUGACUAUCCUAAGGCACUCCAUAUUUCCUUAAAAUGCUAAUGCGGCUAAUCUAUAUCCUAUUUUUUCCCUACUUGUUUAUGUUUGCAUUUAUUGUGUUAAAUAGCUUGUUUGAUUUACUUGAUUCAGGUAGAAACCCUCUCUAGAGAAGACUUGGCCUCCAGAUUGUCGCUGACAACUGAUGCUGCUUCAGUGGGACCUCUUCUUCUUUCAGAUUCAUUUAUCACUAUAAUGGAUGUAUGUCAUCUCAAGUCAUAAUUUGCGUAUUUCUGUAUCAUGCUGUUGUCAAAAGAUUUGAUUUUUUUGCAUGGCUCUUUUCUUCUAAAAAAUGUUAAUUAUUCAGUCUCUAGAUUAAUUGCUAAUCUUAUUGUUUUGGUGUGCCUAGUAAAAGCUCUUUUUUAGUAAUACCAUUCCACUCUAGUUAUGUUAAGUUCCGCUGGCAGUUCUUUCCAUAAUCCACCAUCAACAUAAUUCUAUAUACAUUUUGCUUGUGAGUUGUGACAUUGUGAUGAUAAUGUCUAAAGCUAUUAUUUUUCUUAUUAUUAUGACCCAGAAAAGUAUGAUAUGAAUUUUUUAAUAACUCCACUUUCAUCUUUUUACAUGGUCUUGCUCCUUUCUUAAAGACUAAUGACUACUGUGCAAUUCCUCAACAACUUAAAGAUCAACUGGGUGAAAGGUAUCCUGAGGCAAGGCGUGCAUAUUUAAAAACAGGGGGAGAUUUUCCUUUUCUUUCAAGACCGGAUGAAGUUAACUUGCAUCUUCAGGUAUGUCAUAUCUGACUUUUCUUACUUUACAUGUGAUUUGUUCCGAUAGUCUUUGGCUCAUGGAUUUAACUGUUGUCUAUAUCAUGGCAGUUGCACCUUAGGCGUGUUGGUGUGGAAGCUCGGCCAGAUUUGGUUCACAACGUACCUAAAGGUGAUAUUGGAGGAAGCCAUAGCAAAGAAAAUAACCAAGAUGACUCUGACAAGUCUCAUAAGGAUGAUAGAGGAGGGUCAGAAAAUCCACCUGCUAAAUAUGAGAUAAAUCCUACUUGCCCAGAAAGCUCGGGAUCCGGUAAUUUAGACAAGCAGCCCCUCGAUAGUUCAAAACGUUGCCAUUUGGAUCAUGAGCUCACCUUAUAUGCCUUUCCUGGUGGAUUCACAAGGGAAAAGCGCAUUGUGCCUCCAGGAACUCCUUUACAUUUCGUGUGGGAAUAUAUUGUUCUUUUUUGUCUUCUUCGUCACGUCAGUUGUCUAUACAUUAUAUGGAACUAUUCUUUGGAAUUUAGGCAAGUUGUGUAAGUUGGAAUUCUUUUGGAUAUACUAUAUGUAUCAUGAGAACCUUGUGCGUGAAACAAAGUUAUUAAGAUGGACAAUAUUGUGGAUUGGAUUUCUUAGUUCCUUUCGGCUGGAUGAAGUUGAGAUAGCUACGUUGCAAGUUACUUGUGUAAGUUGGAACUAUUAUUUCCAUUUUUGAAGGUAGGGUUUAAAAGUUUAAACUGCUAUACCAUCAAAAUUUAUAUUUCAGGUUUUAAGUACUUAUGUGACUCGAAAUGUUUUGUGGAAUUUCUCUCUCGGAAGUCGGAUAGUGUUAAUGUAAAAUUCCAUUUUUUUUAAAAAAAAUUUAAACGAUUAUUGAAAACAAAGAACAGGCUCGAAAUUAUGGUCCAAAAUGGUGGUAAGCCAUUGAAAUGUUUUCUUAAGUUGUAAUUCAACAGUCUUGACUAACAGGCUAAAUGUAUUGAGUCAAAUCAGAGCUUCUGAACUGCAUCAGCUUGCAUUAUAAGAUAUCUACCUCAAUUACACUUCCUUAUGAGAUCGAUUACUUUGCCUAAAGUCUAAAAUUGUACCAUAAUUCCAUACAUUCUUAACAACAUAAAAUCACAACUUUAUGAUUGUUUAUCUCGGAUUUCACCAUAUUGUGCUGGAAAAUACUGGCUUAUUCUUUCUGGGUAUAGUAUGUCACUAUGUUGUAUUAACGUUGAUACGCUUUUAUUGGCUAAUAUCAGCUGUCAUGACUUAUGCAGAACAGGAGAUCUUAACACAAAAUAUUAAUCCAUUGAGUGAAAGAACAUUAUAGCUUAAGUAUCACGUUAAAUUUCUUAUUUUACUUAAUAUAAGACUCAAUCGAAAACGAAUCCGAAUAUUACUGCACUUGAUACAACAUAAACUUGAAAAGAAAGUGGUUUACAAAGGGUAGCUCUGAAAGCAAAAUACAGUACACUCAAGAGCAUGAACAACCGUAAGCCAAUAUUAUCUUCCCGACUAUUAGCCAUGGUAACCAAACACAAAAAACUAUGACAUGAUAAAUAUUUAUUUACACAAUUAAAAUUAAAAUUGUAAUAAAAAAAAUAUAAAGUACAUUAAAAAUUCAUAAUACCAUAUUUUUAAAUACAUAAAUUCCAUAUUUAAUUUUUAAUAACCAAUUUAAAGUAAUAAUAUUAUUUUUGACAAAUGAUAAUUUUCCUUAAACCCAUUAAAAAUUAAUUUAAAGAUAAAACUAAAAGAGAAUAGGUUGAAAUGUAAAACUUUUUUAACCUAUAACAAACAUUAGUUAACAUGUAAAAUAAUAACCAAUGUAUUUAAGAGUUCGGAUUGGUAAUGGGAAAACAUUGAGACUAAAAAUACGAUUCAAAAGAUCAGUUAUUUGAUUAGAAACGCUAAAAUAAGUAAAUGACGUAAAAACUAACUGUCUGUAUGGAUUACAUUAUAAGAAGUGGAAUUUGAUUAAACUUAACUUUAUGAACUCAAGUUCAGUUAAAAGUAAUAGUUUUCCUUUGGAAACCAAUUGAAUGCAUAAGCAGUAAAGAAUACGAUCCUUCAAAUCUUCUCAGCAUAUAUAUUACUUGAAAAUAAAACCAAAAACCAUAGUCAUCUCUUUAAAGGACAACCUCCAACGGCUAAAAGAAAAAGAACACCACAUUGAUAAAUUGACUUAACAAGUUAAAUUAUCUUUCUCAGUCUAACCAUAGGUUCUGAACAAAACUAAGCCACAUAACCUAUCCAGCCUUCAAAUAAAC
rnacentral:lncRNA from 1 species